CGGCGUCGCGUCGCCAAGAUCUUCGAAACGCUGCGCGUGAGCAAGUUAAAUUCAAGGAAAGAGUUUGGUUCAAAAUUACCGAACAUUUUACAUCAAACAAAGGUCCUGCACAAAAUAAUCUUGAUAAGAGUCAUAAUUUUAGUCAUUAAACCAAUAACGGUGACCGAUUUUCUGAUAGUGAAGUGUAUUUACCUAUUGUGAUUGUGAAGUAGUGAUUCAUUGUUUGGCAAAAUUACUUCGCAGCAGUCUCGUCUCGACGUCAGUUAUAGCUAGUUAGUACAAAUGAAACACGUAAACUUUGAACGAAACCAAAAAAGUUGCCCGAUCCUAUUACUGGCUCUGCACAACACCAGUGUAGUCUUCACUUUAUAAUUUACUGAGAGUUUAUUUAAUUCCCAAAGUGGUAUUACAUUAACGUUUGUUUACUAGACUUUUACCUGCUAAACCGAAACGCAUCGAUCGGAGAUAAAUUUCGAUAAGCGUUGAUAAGUUUGGUUGUAGUUUUAAAUAGUAACAACGGGCAGUACGCCUCAGUCGUGGACGACUUGCUGUCUCGCCAUCAGUCACUCGCGACGAGACAAAAAAAAACAAAAUGUGUUGCUGUGUGUGCAAUCUGCUGUGCAAGCUCAUCAGUUUAGCAGUCUCGUUACUGUUCAUAGUAGCCUUUAUUCUUCUUAUCCUAUGGGCUGUCGGAGUUUUGUUCCAAAAAGACGACGACCCAACAAAGUUCAUGAAUCUGACGGAGAUGGACAGUUUUCAUUAUAAUAAUAAAAAGUUAAUAUAAAAAUAUAGAUAUAGUUCUCCCUCUA